GGGGGCUAGGUAUCGGAUUACUGGGCGUAAGCGUGCGCAGGCGGUUUUGUAAGUCUGUCGUGAAAGCCCCGGGCUCAACCUGGGAAUUGCGAUGGAGACUGCAAGGCUUGAAUCUGGCAGAGGGGGGUAGAAUUCCACGUGUAGCAGUGAAAUGCGUAGAGAUGUGGAGGAACACCGAUGGCGAAGGCAGCCCCCUGGGUCAAGAUUGACGCUCAUGCACGAAAGCGUGGGGAGCAAACAGGAUUAGAUACCCUGGUAGUCCACGCCCUAAACGAUGUCUACUAGUUGUCGGGUUUUAAUUAACUUGGUAACGCAGCUAACGCGUGAAGUAGACCGCCUGGGGAGUACGGUCGCAAGAUUAAAACUCAAAGGAAUUGACGGGGACCCGCACAAGCGGUGGAUGAUGUGGAUUAAUUCGAUGCAACGCGAAAAACCUUACCUACCCUUGACAUGUCAGGAACCUCCGAGAGAUCGGGGGGUGCCCGAAAGGGAACCUGAACACAGGUGCUGCAUGGCUGUCGUCAGCUCGUGUCGUGAGAUGUUGGGUUAAGUCCCGCAACGAGCGCAACCCUUGUCAUUAGUUGCUACAUUCAGUUGAGCACUCUAAUGAGACUGCCGGUGACAAACCGGAGGAAGGUGGGGAUGACGUCAAGUCCUCAUGGCCCUUAUGGGUAGGGCUUCACACGUCAUACAAUGGUACAUACAGAGGGCCGCCAACCCGCGAGGGGGAGCUAAUCCCAGAAAGUGUAUCGUAGUCCGGAUCGUAGUCUGCAACUCGACUACGUGAAGUUGGAAUCGCUAGUAAUCGCGGAUCAGCAUGUCGCGGUGAAUACGUUCCCGGGUCUUGUACACACCGCCCGUCACACCAUGGGAGCGGGUUUUACCAGAAGUAGUAGCUUAACCGCAAGGAGGGCGCUUACCACGGUAGGAUUCGUGACUGGGGUG
rnacentral:rRNA from 1 species